AUACCGACACCCUCAAAGUUCGGGAGGCCGACCACCAAGGGGAGAUAAACAAGCUGCUGCAAGACGUGCAGGCGAUUGCAGAAGGGCAGCGGCUGUCCUGGCUCUCGGAGAAGAGACUCCUGUCGCAGCGGCUGGAACGUCUGCAGCGAGCAGUUGCAAGGCUGGACCGGGAGAAGACGGAGCUGAAGCAAUACAGUGCUGAGCUCAGGAGGACUCUGGAGGAGGUGGAACGUGAACGGAGGAGGCUGAGGAGAUGUUGCAGAGGUCGGGCGCUGCCAGAUGCAGGCGGAUCUUCUCUCUCCGAGUCUGACCAGCACAAGAU